rnacentral:misc_RNA from 1 species
UUGCAAAAGAAGUAGGUAGCUUAACCGCNANGNGGGCGCUUACCACUUUGUGAUUCAUGACUGGGGUGAAGNCGUAACAAGGUAACCGUAGGGGAACCUGCGGUUGGAUCACCUCCUUAACUAUAAACUCUCACUAUCAGUGUCCACUCNCAUUAUCUGAUAAAUCAUNAAAAAAGACGCUGUCCCCUU